CCUACGGGUGGCAGCAGUGAGGAAUAUUGGUCAAUGGACGAGAGUCUGAACCAGCCAAGUAGCGUGAAGGAUGACUGUCCUAUGGGUUGUAAACUUCUUUUAUAUGGGAGUAAAAUGUUUCGCGUGUGUGCUUUUGUAUGUACCCUAUGAAUCAAGAUUGGCCAACCCCGUGCCAGCCGCCGCGGUAAGUCGGAGGAUCCGAGCGUUACGCGGAUUUGUUGGGUUGAAAGGGAGCGGAGGUGGAGUGUUAAGUCAGUUGUGAAAGUGUGCGGCGCAACCGUAAAAUGGCAGUUGAAACUGGGAGUCUUGAGUGCAGUAGAGGUGGGCGGAAUUCGUGGUGUAGCGGUGAAAUGCUUAGAUAUCACGAAGAACUCCGAUUGCGAAGGCAGCUCACUGGACUGCAACUGACACUGAGGCUCGAAAGUGUGGGUAUCAAACAGGAUUAGAUACCCUGGUAGUC
rnacentral:rRNA from 1 species